rnacentral:rRNA from 1 species
UUUGGACCAAGGUUCGAGCGGGGGAAGGUAGCUUGCUACUGGACCUAGCGGCGGACGGGUGAGUAAUGCUUAGGAAUCUGCCUAUUAGUGGGGGACAACAUUCCGAAAGGAAUGCUAAUACCGCAACGUCCUACGGGAGAAAGCAGGGGACCUUCGGGCCUUGCGCUAAUAGAUGAGCCUAAGUCGGAUUAGCUAGUUGGUGGGGUAAAGGCCUACCAAGGCGACGAUCUGUAGCGGGUCUGAGAGGAUGAUCCGCCACACUGGGACUGAGACACGGCCCAGACUCCUACGGGAGGCAGCAGUGGGGAAUAUUGGACAAUGGGGGGAACCCUGAUCCAGCCAUGCCGCGUGUGUGAAGAAGGCCUUAUGGUUGUAAAGCACUUUAAGCGAGGAGGAGGCUACUAGUAUUAAUACUACUGGAUAGUGGACGUUACUCGCAGAAUAAGCACCGGCUAACUCUGUGCCAGCAGCCGCGGUAAUACAGAGGGUGCGAGCGUUUAAUCGGAUUUACUGGGCGUAAAGCGUGCGUAGGCGGCCAUUUAAGUCAAAUGUGAAAUCCCCGAGCUUAACUUGGGAAUUGCAUUCGAUACUGGAUGGCUAGAGUAUGGGAGAGGAUGGUAGAAUUCCAGGUGUAGCGGUGAAAUGCGUAGAGAUCUGGAGGAAGAAAGAUGGCGAAGGUUUCAGACCAUCGUGCGCCCAAUACUGACGCUGAGGCUUUAACCCCAAAACAUCGGGAUACGCACAACAGGACCCUAGAUACCCCGGGAGUUCCAUCCCCUAAACGAUAUCUACUAGCAUCGCUGCGGCCCCUGAGGAAAUUCUACCGGCGCAGCUAACGCGACACACGUAGACCGCCGUCGCGGGAGGUACGGUCCCCGCAAUAAGACUGGAAGUAUACUCAAUAUGAAUUGACAGGAGGCCCGCCACCAAGCCACGUGGAGCAUACGCCUCUAAUAUAUCGAAAGCAACGCGUACAGAACCUUACCUGGCCUUGACAUACUAGAAACUUUCCAGAGAUGGAUUGGUGCCUUCGGGAAUCUAGAUACAGGUGCUGCAUGGCUGUCGUCAGCUCGUGUCGUGAGAUGUUGGGUUAAGUCCCGCAACGAGCGCAACCCUUUUCCUUACUUGCCAGCAUUUCGGAUGGGAACUUUAAGGAUACUGCCAGUGACAAACUGGAGGAAGGCGGGGACGACGUCAAGUCAUCAUGGCCCUUACGGCCAGGGCUACACACGUGCUACAAUGGUCGGUACAAAGGGUUGCUACCUAGCGAUAGGAUGCUAAUCUCAAAAAGCCGAUCGUAGUCCGGAUUGGAGUCUGCAACUCGACUCCAUGAAGUCGGAAUCGCUGUAAUCGCGGAUCAGAAUGCCGCGGUGAAUACGUUCCCGGGCCUUGUACACACCGCCCGUCACACCAUGGGAGUUUGUUGCACCAGAAGUAGGUAGUCUAACCGCAAGGAGGACGCUCAUUCUUAUAUGUUGGCCCCCCACCCG